rnacentral:lncRNA from 1 species
AAUGGACCAAAGCAUCUUUAUUAAGAAGUAGCAGUUUUAUUCCCCGAAGUAAUUUUAAACUAUGAAUUUUUUAACGCUGAAAAACAGAACUGAAAAUAAAAGGCUAAAAUAUAAAAACAUUUACAACAUAAACUAUAUAAUUAUUCUGAAAAGAGUUUGGCCCACUCUGAAAGAACUGUACUCUUUACCUAAAGAUGCAAAACAGUAAAGAGUUAAACACAGUUCAAAUUACUUCUGCAUGACUGUCCUGGUUUUGCCUGGGAUAGAGUUAAUUUUCUUCCUAAUAGCUGUUACGGUGCUGUGUUUUGGAUUUAGUCUGAAAAUAAUGUUGAUUACAAACCUGUGUUUUCAGUUGUUGCUAAGUAGUGCUUACCCUGAUCAAGGGCAUUUCAGUUUCCCACGCUCUGCCAGUGAGGAGGAGCACAAGAAGCUGGAAGGAGCACAACUAGAACAGGUGACCUGAACUAGCCAAAGGGAUAUUCCAUACCCUGGAUUGUGAUGCUUGGUAUAUAAACUGGGAGUGGGUUGGCUGGGAGCCACCAAUCACCGCUAUGGGCUGGGCAUCAGUCAGUGGGUGGUGAGCAAUUGUUUUGUGCAUCAUUUGUGCUUCUUGAGUUUUAUUUCUCUCCUUUUUUUGUUGUCUCCCUUUUCAUCACAAUUAUUAUAGUAUUAUAUUAUUUUAUUUCAAUUAUUAAACUGUUCUUAUAUCUACCUACAGGUUUUACCUUGUUUUCUGAUUCUCCUUCCCAUCCCACCAGGGGUGGGGGGAGGUGAGCGAGCGGCUGUGUGUUGGGGGCUGCGGUUAAACAAUGACAACUACCAGUUUGGGUAGCAAAUGGUUCUGGAACAAAAAUAAUUUCAUUCCCAAAGUUUAACUAAUUUCUAAAUUAGACUUUGGAAUCAGGUACAGACCUGCUGAGGUAAAGGCUUAGUUCUGAAGUACUGACCAUCUGCUACCAUUCUAUUUACAUUCCAAUGCUAUCAGACAACUAAGUUAACCUGUUUUCACCAGAAUAGGUAAGAUCCUAGAAUAAAUAAGGCACUGAAAAGUCAGUAGAGUCCAAAGGCAGUGUAAGGAAUAGCUGCCACCUUUUACCUCCUGCCCAGUGAUAUUUGUAAGCUUUUCCAGCCCAAACUAUAGAGGACAGCCCUCAAGCAGAGUAGGAGGUGGCUCUUCUAUAGCACUUUGCUCAAAGAGGGCUCACAGGUAUACAAGGGAGACAACAGAAGAUCUAAGCAGUCUGUGCAUUAGGCUUUAAGGCCCAUAUGAUCAAGAAGCAUGAACCCAGCACUCUGCACAGCUGAAGAAAGGAAUAAAAA